AUUGAACGCUGGCGGCAGGCCUAACACAUGCCAGUCGAGCGGAUGAAGGGAGCUUGCUCCUGGAUUCAGCGGCGGACGGGUGAGUAAUGCCUAGGAAUCUGCCUGGUAGUGGGGGAUAACGUCCGGGAACGGGCGCUAAUACCGCAUACGUCCUGAGGGAGAAAGUGGGGGAGCUUCGGACCUCACGCUAUCAGAUGAGCCUAGGUCGGAUUAGCUAGUUCGUGGGGUAAAGGCCUACCAAGGCGACGAUCCGUAACUGGUCUGAGAGGAUGAUCAGUCACACUGGAACUGAGACACGGUCCAGACUCCUACGGGAGGCAGCAGUGGGGAAUAUUGGACAAUGGGCGAAAGCCUGAUCCAGCCAUGCCGCGUGUGUGAAGAAGGUCUUCGGAUUGUAAAGCACUUUAAGUUGGGAGGAAGGGCAGUAAGUUAAUACCUUGCUGUUUUGACGUUACCAACAGAAUAAGCACCGGCUAACUUCGUG
rnacentral:rRNA from 1 species